rnacentral:tRNA from 15 species
AACGUGGCUCAGCUGGUAGAGCAACGCACUCGUAAUGCGUAGGUCAGCGGUUCGAAUCCGCUCGUU